rnacentral:rRNA from 1 species
UCGCCUGUUUAUCCAAAAACAUAGUCUAUUGUUUUUUAUAAUAGAUUUUUUCUGCCCGGUGAUUGGUUAAACGGCCGCGGUAUUCUGACCGUGCAAAGGUAGCAUAAUCAUUUGUUCUUUAAUUGGGGACUUGUAUGAAGGAAAGUUUGAGGCUCUGUCUGUCUCUUUUUUAGGUUAGAAUUUGCUGUUUAUGUGAAGAAGCAUAAUUGAAUGAAAAAGACAAGAAGACCCUUUUAAGUUUUAUUUUUUGUUUUGGUGUUUUGUUCUUUGAGGAAGAAUGGUGAUAUGGUUGGCAAAAUUUAGUUGGGGUGACUAAAGAAGAGUUAGUAUCUUCUUUGUUUUUGAAGACUGUAAGUUAAAAAAAGACCCAAUAUUUGUUGGUUAAAAGAAUUAAUUACUAAAGGGAUAACAGCGUAAUCUUUUCAGAGAGUUCUUAUUGAAGAAAAGGAUUGCGACCUCGAUGUUGACUUGCUUUUUCCUUUUGAAGGUGCAGGAGCUAAAAGGGUUGGUCUGUUCGACCAUUAAAAUAGUACGUGAUCUGA